rnacentral:rRNA from 1 species
UACGUAGGGAGCAAGCGUUGUCCGGAAUCACUGGGCGUAAAGGGCGCGUAGGCGGCAAUUCAAGUCAGCUGUGAAAUCUCCGGGCUUAACUCGGAACGGUCAGCUGAUACUGCUUUGCUAGAGUGCAGAAGGGGCAAUCGGAAUUCUUGGUGUAGCGGUGAAAUGCGUAGAUAUCAAGAGGAACACCUGAGGUGAAGACGGGUUGCUGGGCUGACACUGACGCUGAGGCGCGAAAGCUAGGGUAGCAAACGGG